GGCCCGGCUUUGCCCCCGCGCGCAGGUGCCUCCCUCUGCUUCCCGCCGGGCUCCUUCCCUGCUCUGCCCCGGCCGCGGGCGCCCCGAGCCAAGCGCUGCUGUGGCCCCGCAGCGGGCGGCUGCCGGUGGGGCGCCCGCCAGGCCGGUGGCCUGCGCUUAGCCCCACGCCCUUCCCGGCCGGGAUCGGUUCGGCCCCUCUGCAAAACUUUCCCCGGCCUGUCCCCCCAGCUGGGGCCCGGGCACCCUCCGACUUGUCGCCUCCCCAGCUGACUCGCCCCAUUGGAGCCAAUUGCCGCUGGUGGCCGAACUCAGCGGCACCUGGCUGGUUCCCGGGGACACGGGGCCCGCUGGCUGCCCUGCCCCGCGCGCCCUUACCAAGGAAUACGACACACUGCGCCUGCAACCCCCCGGGGUCUCCCGCUGCGCGCGGGGGCAGCUUCUCGGGCGCGAGGGAUGCAGCCACUUAGCGGCGGAUCCUGUUCUGCGCCUUCCCGAUGCCUCGCUGGUGUCCGGCCUGCGCUGCUCUAAGCCCGGGCUAGCGAGCAAGGAACCUGUCCAUUCUUAACCUCUCUGUUCACCCCACUUUUAGAGGCAAGCCUCGUGUUGCGGUCCUGGCUCUGAGUUUGGCUGUGUGCGCGCUUUCUGGUUUACGAGUUGGGGCUAAACGGGCGCUGUCUGUAAUGGCCCUCUCGCCCUCUCUCUCGGUGGCUUUGGCCUUGCGAUGUAAAGCAGGAGGGCAGGAUCUUGUGGGAUGGAGACCCUCGGGGCAUUGGUGGGUGCGCAGUUAACCCUAUGUGCAUCGAGAGGUGAAUAACCUUUGGCGGAGGAUCAAUUGCACAGAUAGGGGAGGGGAGAGCUUGGCUCGGAUAAAACCUGAGUAAGAAGUCCAUCUAAAAUUCAGUUCAGCCUUUAUCUGGCCUGGUUCUGCGCCUGGCGCUCUGGUUUAGUGAAAGUACUGAAGCGUUGUGAAAGGAGCUAUGACUUGUGAAAAUAGUGGCACUAUCACAAGACCUUUGGCUUCGCUCUCCCAGAACAAAGAAGCCCUCCUGACUUCUGCUAAGUGUCUGACUCUCUGCUUGAAAAGUUAAAGCAAAGGCCCCUCCCCAGUUAUUAGUGAUCUGCACACGUGCAAAAACUUGGGGUAGGGUUAAUUCUCCAAAGCAGGGGCUUUUAUGGACUCCGAAUGAAUAGAUUACUCCGCUCUUCGCUACUUUGUGUUUAGGUUAGUCAAUCUGUAUCAACCCUAUCUUUUAAAUCCGGGAAAUGGUGGUGGUUUGCGAUACUAAGAAUCUGUGAGAACUUCUAGGGUUUAUGACAGAAUAGCAGGGACUUGUCCGUCCUCAGUCUGGAGUUGUUUGCAGCAAUGUUGUAGCCCUGCUGAUCCCACGGUAUGAAAGAGACUAGGCAGAUGGCCGAAUUGGUCCAUAACAAGAUAGUACCUCGCCUACCGAGUCUGUCCUGACUGUCAUACGAAGAUCCCUGCAAAAUAGGGACCGGUCUGGAGGCCUGGUGUGCUCCUAAUGACCUAAAACAAAAAAGGAGUACUUGUGGCACCUUAGAGACUAACAAAUUUAUUUGAG